GAUGAACGCUGGCGGCGUGCCUAAUACAUGCAAGUCGAACGCACUGAUUUUAUCAGUGAGUGGCGAACGGGUGAGUAAUACAUAAGUAACCUGCCCUCAUGAGGGGGAUAACUAUUAGAAAUGAUAGCUAAGACCGCAUAGGUGAAGGGGUCGCAUGACCGCUUCAUUAAAUAUCCGUAAGGAUAGCAGGAGGAUGGACUUAUGGCGCAUUAGCUGGCUGGUGAGGUAACGGCUCACCAAGGCGACGAUGCGUAGCCGACCUGAGAGGGUGGACGGCCACACUGGGACUGAGACACGGCCCAGACUCCUACGGGAGGCAGCAGUAGGGAAUUUUCGGCAAUGGGGGAAACCCUGACCGAGCAACGCCGCGUGAGGGAAGAAGUAUUUCGGUAUGUAAACCUCUGUUAUAAAGGAAGAACGGUAUGAAUAGGAAAUGAUUCAUAAGUGACGGUACUUUAUGAGAAAGCCACGGCUAACUACGUGCCAGCAGCCGCGGUAAUACGUA
rnacentral:rRNA from 1 species